UGGGGAAUAUUGGACAAUGGGCGGAAGCCUGAUCCAGCCAUGCCGCGUGUGUGAAGAAGGCCUUUUGGUUGUAAAGCACUUUACGCGAGGAGGAGGCUACUUGGAUUAAUACUCUAGGAUAGUGGACGUUACUCGCAGAAUAAGCACCGGCUAACUCUGUGCCAGCAUCCGCGGUAAUACAGAGGGUGCGAGCGUUAAUCGGAUUUACUGGGCGUAAAGCGUGCGUAGGCGGCUUCUUAAGUCGGAUGUGAAAUCCCUGAGCUUAACUUAGGAAUUGCAUUCGAUACUGGGAAGCUAGAGUAUGGGGGAGGAUGGUAGAAUUCCAGGUGUAGCGGUGAAAUGCGUAGAGAUCUGGAGGAAUACCGAUGGCGAAGGCAGCCAUCUGGCCUAAUACUGACGCUGAGGUACGAAAGCAUGGGGAGCAAACAGG
rnacentral:rRNA from 1 species